UGUCCUGGAACUCGUUCUGUAGAC
rnacentral:piRNA from 2 species